rnacentral:rRNA from 1 species
GCAAGUCGAGGGGUAGCAUUACCUUCGGUUAGAUGGCGACCGGCGCACGGGUGCGUAACGCGUAUGCAACCUACCUCUCACAUAGGGAUAGCCCCUAGAAAUGGAGAUUAAUACCUUAUGGCAUCUUAAGUGUUGCAUGACACUAAGAUUAAAGAUUUACGGUGAUAGAUGAGCAUGCGUGACAUUAGCUAGUUGGUGAGGUAACGGCGUACCAAGGCAACGAUGUGUAGGGGAUCUGAGAGGACGACC